rnacentral:rRNA from 1 species
ACAUGCCUACAAUAUAUCGUUAAUGCACUAGAUCCCACUCAAGCUCUAUAGUUAAGCACGCUCGGGAUAGAGUAGUACUGGGAUGGGUGAUCAUCUGGGAAGUCCUAGUAUUUUACAUGCC